GGCGGCUCUUCGUGCGGCGUCACCCUGCGAAUCCCCCAGGACCGGAAGGUAGCAAGGGUAAGAAGGCUCUGGCGGGUGCACGAAGAGUCCUUUUC
rnacentral:SRP_RNA from 1 species